rfam:Hordeum vulgare subsp. vulgare, WGS project CAJW01000000 data, contig: morex_contig_1532502
AGGAGCCGUGCGAGAUGAAAGUCUCAUGCACGGUUUUGCAUGAGAGAAAGAAGCGCGGAAUCCUCUUUUCGACCCUGAC